UGAAUUGGACGGGGCCCGCACAAGCGGUGGAGCAUGUGGUUUAAUUCGACGCAACGCGAAGAACCUUACCAGGGCUUGACAUCCCCUGACCGCGUAUGAAAGUACGUUUUCACCUCGGGUGACAGGGAGACAGGUGGUGCAUGGUUGUCGUCAGCUCGUGUCGUGAGAUGUUGGGUUAAGUCCCGCAACGAGCGCAACCCCUACGUUUAGUUGCUAACGCGUGAAGGCGAGCACUCUAGACGAACUGCCGUUGACAAAACGGAGGAAGGUGGGGAUGACGUCAAAUCAUCAUGCCCCUUAUGUUCUGGGCUACACACGUGCUACAAUGGCCGGUACAGACGGACGCAAAGCCGCGAGGUGGAGCAAAUCCUAAAAAGCCGGUCUCAGUUCGGAUUGCAGGCUGCAAUUCGCCUGCAUGAAGUCGGAAUCGCUAGUAAUCGCAGGUCAGCAUACUGCGGUGAAUACGUUCCCGGGCCUU
rnacentral:rRNA from 1 species